rnacentral:rRNA from 1 species
AGUGAACGCUGGCGGUAUGCCUAACACAUGCAAGUCGAACGGCAGCACAGUAAGAGCUUGCUCUUACGGGUGGCGAGUGGCGGACGGGUGAGGAAUACAUCGGAAUCUACUUUUUCGUGGGGGAUAACGUAGGGAAACUUACUCUAAUACCGCAUACGACCUACGGUUGAAAGCAGUGGAUCUUCGGACCUUGCGCGAUUGAAUGAGCCGAUGUCGGAUUAGCUAGUUGGCGGGGUAAAGGCCCACCAAGGCGACGAUCCGUAGCUGGUCUGAGAGGAGGGUCAGCCACACUGGAAGUGAGACACGGUCAAGACUCCUACGGGAGGCAGCAGUGGGGAAUAUGGGACAAUGGGCGCAAGCAUGAUCCAGCCAUACCGCGUGGGUGAAGAAGGCCUUCGGGUUGUAAAGCCCUUUUGUUGGGAAAGAAAAGCAGCAGGUUAAUACCCAGCUGUUCUGACGGUACCCAAAGAAUAAGCACCGGCUAACUUCGUG